AGUGAACGCUGGCGGUAGGCCUAACACAUGCAAGUCGAACGGCAGCACAGUAAGAGCUUGCUCUUACGGGUGGCGAGUGGCGGACGGGUGAGGAAUACAUCGGAAUCUACUUUUUCGUGGGGGAUAACGUAGGGAAACUUACGCUAAUACCGCAUACGACCUACGGGUGAAAGCAGGGGAUCUUCGGACCUUGCGCGAUUGAAUGAGCCGAUGUCGGAUUAGCUAGUUGGCGGGGUAAAGGCCCACCAAGGCGACGAUCCGUAGCUGGUCUGAGAGGAUGAUCCGCAGAAGAGGAACGGUGACAGGGUCCAGACUCCGACGAGAGGCAGCGUGGGGGAAUAUUGGACAAUGGGCUCAAGCCUGAUCCAGCCGGCGGGCGUGGGUGAAGGAGGCCUGGGGGUUGUAAAUCCCUUUUGUGGGAAAAGAAAGGCAGAAGGUUAAUACCCCGUUGUUCUGACGGAACAAAAAGAAGAAUCACCGGCUCACUUCGUACCAGCAGCCGCUGUAAUAGGUCGGAAGACCACACGAAC
rnacentral:rRNA from 1 species